rnacentral:lncRNA from 1 species
GGAGGUGCCAGUCCCACUGGGUGGGCGGAGGGGCAGUCCGCGUUGGGGUCUGCGUUGCCUGGGCUGAGCCUGAGGGAGCCGUGGGUGGGGAUGUGAAGUAAUGGGAUCUCUAAUUUCUGAAGACUUUGCUGGAGGCUCUGGAGACAAGUGUGGGCCAUUAAACUAGGUGACACCGUUAGGGCAUUUUGAAGCCAAGGAGACUGGGUAUCUCUGGAGCCUUUCUGCCCAGCUCCCAUUUUUACUAUUUUCCUAGGGCAGAUGUAACAAUUUACCACAAAUAUGGAGUUUACAAUAACAGAAAUGUGUUCUCUUGCAGUUCUGAAGAACAGAAGUCAGAAAUCAAGAUGUUGGCAGGUUGGGUUCCUUCUGGAGGCCCAGAGGGAGAAUCAGUUCCACACUUUUCUCCCAGCUUCUGGUGGCUGCUCACAACCCAUGGAAUACCUUGACUUGUAGACACACCUAUUCCCACUCUUUCCAUCUUCAAAUGACAUCUCCAGGUGUCAUCUCCUCUUCUUAAAAGUAUAGCAGUCAUUGGACUUAGGCCCUGCUCCCAAAUACAGGAUGAUUUCUUCUUGAGAGAUUGGAUGAUACCUGCAAAGGCCUUAUUUCAAAUAAAGUCCC